GCGGCAGGCCUAACACAUGCAAGUCGAGCGGUAGAGAGAAGCUUGCUUCUCUUGAGAGCGGCGGACGGGUGAGUAAUACCUAGGAAUCUGCCUGAUAGUGGGGGAUAACGUUCGGAAACGGACGCUAAUACCGCCUACGUCCUACGGGAGAAAGCAGGGGACCUUCGGGCCUUGCGCUAUCAGAUGAGCCUAGGUCGGAUUAGCUAGUUGGUGAGGUAAUGGCUCACCAAGGCUACGAUCCGUAACUGGUCUGAGAGGAUGAUCAGUCACACUGGAACUGAGACACGGUCCAGACUCCUACGGGAGGCAGCAGUGGGGAAUAUUGGACAAUGGGCGAAAGCCUGAUCCAGCCAUGCCGCGUGUGUGAAGAA
rnacentral:rRNA from 1 species